rnacentral:rRNA from 1 species
GUACAAACUAAAUGAUGGUGAAACUGCAAAUGGCUCAUUACAACGGUUAUGAUGUACCCGGGAGUUCCGAUGGAUAUUUCCAGUAACACUAGAACUAAUACAUGCUCCUGCGUUUAUUAGUUUCGCACAGUCCGUCGCUGAGUCAUGGUAAACAGUUGAUCGACUCGACGUCCCGGAACAGUUUCCGCCCCAUCAGCUUCGAUGGUUGGGUAUUGGCCUACCAUUGCAACAACGGGUAACGAGGAAUUAGGGUUUGAUUUCGGAGAGGGAGCCUGAGAAACGGCUACCACAUCUACGGAUGGCAGCAGGCGCGCAAAUUACCCAAUGCAGACACUGUGAGGUAGUGACGAGAAAUAAUAAAGCGGGACUUCUGUUUCGCUAUUAUAAUGAGGAAUAACCAAAGGUCAUUCCGAUUAGCAACUGAUGGGAAAGUCUGGUGCCAGCAGCCGCGGUAAUACCAGCGUCAGUAGCAUAUAUUAAAAUUGUUGCAGUUAAAACGUCCGUAGUCUGUACGUCGUCACAAACUCACUGCAGUCUUCCGUUUUCUUCAUUGAAUGCGGCAGUUUCUGCAGUCACUCCCUUGAUCAAAUUAGGUUGUUCAAGGUAGACCAAGUCUUCAUAUUUUCACAUGGAAUUGGGUGAGGGAACUUAAGAGUUUAAGUUUCUCGUCUUAGGAUCAUCCGGGGUCAUUCGUACUCGUCCGCGAGAGGUGAAAUUCUUGGACCGGACGAAGACGACCAGCAGCGAAAGCAUCUGUCAGGGAUGUUUUCUGCGACAAAGGACGA